rnacentral:lncRNA from 1 species
UGUUUUGGCCUCCAUUCAUCAUAGCCGUUGGAUUUUCAUCAUCCAACGGCUCAGGACUGAUUCGUACUUUAGUAUAAUAGUGUCCGAACCGGGUCGACCCACCCCAAAACCAAAAAUUCAUCUCAUUUCUCCUCGCAUCCUCUCUGAAACUAAACCCUAGCCGCCCCUAUAUUCCCUCAUCGCCUCCGCCAUAAGCCUCCCGCUGGAAAUCGCUUCUGCUGGCGGUGAUGCUCCAAUCUAUUCCAAAUUUACACCACAUACUCCCCUUCACCUCCCCAUCAUAAAUAUCCAUUCCAUCUCCCUCAAAUCAGACCCAAGCCUUUCGAAUUUUGGAUCGAAAUUUCGGUCAAAAAAUCCUAAUCGCUCCAAACAUCCCCAAAUUUCUACCAGUUAACCCUUGUCCCCUUCCCUUUCCAAAUCCCCAAGCCAAGUCCUUCGAUUUCCCCUUAAGUCACUCCAAUCUCAGAUCUGAGAGCAUGCAAAACCUAGGUCACACGAUUUAGGGUUCUUCAUAAGAGGAUUUAAACCAGAAAAAAUGUUAGCUGUUUGUUCUUGAUGAAGAACAUUGGGCUAACACCUAUUGCGUUUUAAAUCAAAGUUGACCCAUUUUGUCUAGCCAACUGUGUUUCCAUUUUGUUAGCGAAAGGUAUGAUUUCAUGAUUGUCAUCUUCGUUUCUUUUCCUUUUCUAUGUCUUCAUCGUCUUCUCUGUGUCACCUUCUAUGUUUGCCAUUUUAUGUGACGGUUCAACAUGAUUCAUAAGGUCACAAUUUGAUCAUGAAGGUUUUUGUUUUGUUUUUGGCUUAAUUCAUGUUUAACUAGUUUGAGUUCAUAAGGCAUUUUUAGAUUCGUUUAGUAAUCCUUGCUUGUUUUAUUUUGCCCAUAAUCAGUCCAAUCUAGAAUUCAUGGGUUCUAAUUGUUGUUUAUAGUUGAAUUGUAGGAAAAAUAGGUUUUAGUUAAUCAUUCUAGUUAAAUACAUAUCGAGGCAAUUAGGAUCAGUAAGUUAGUUUAGGUUCAUUUUUCUUCGAUUGCCUACUUUUGAUAUUGAGACUACAUGUUUAAUCUCUCUUUCUUUGCCUUUACUUGUAGGUUUCAGAACUCGAAGUAUGAUUAAUAAUCUCUCUUUUUGAAAUUCUUGAUAAUAUUAGUUUUAGGGCUUUCAUCUUUGUUUAUUUCAUUUUUCUGUGUCGAAUUAGAGUUAAAAGAUUUCUCUUGAACUUGUUUCAUAUUUCAGAUUCUGUUCAUACAAAUUAAGUUCAUCUUUUGUUUGUUCAAACAGCCUCUACUUUGAUCUUUUGAUUGUGCUAAUUUUGGCCUUAAGAUGUUAGUCUUUGCUAACAAUUAGCAACCUUAAGGGACCUAAGUAAACAUAAAAGAACCUAGGUAAAAAUGAAAUAGGUGAUAACCUAAGAGGUAAAAAGGGGUUCUUACUCAGGCUAAAAGUUUAGAAAGUUCUACAAUAUAGCACACAUGUCCUUAUCCUUAGAAAAUACAGAUUUUGGACAAGGAAAAAUGACGGACAACUAUAACAAAGGACUGCACUAUUAGGGAAUUCAGAAUUUAGGGUAGCAUAUUCCCUUUUUGAUACCAUUUUUGGAUAUCCUAUAUAUAGAAAGCACUCACUCACACAAAGGGGGAUUCAGCCUUAAUUUUUCUGCACACAAAACCUCUGAAAAUACAAUUAGAUUCGGAGAACUUUAAAGAGCAUUUUCAAAAGUUUUCAGCUACUCUUUUGAGCAGAAAUUUUUCAUUCCUUUUUCUGAAUUCCGCCUAAAUCAGAACACAUUUUCCUUCAAAGAUUCUGGGCUUCUUGAUUUGCAAGAUGGUUUGAGUUGGAAGCUGUGAUAUUGUUGGUUGUUGGCUACUGCUUCAUUGAUUUCUUGCUCGGUUAUCUUUGCUCUUCUCUCUGAGGAUUCACAGCCUUGCUUCUGUUCUUUGUAAUCAGGUACACCUUGAGCUUUGAAUUAUGAAUGAAAUACAAUAUUGUUUUUGAAGAGUGUACUUUUGCCAUGGAGUUCAAAAUUCAUAUUUACAUUUUAAGUUUCUUUCUUUUUAAGUCAUUUGACUUCUGAUCGUUAGCUUUCUCCUCAUCAGCUCCUACUCAAAUACAUCAAGGAUGUUAUGUUGUUUUCAUGAAAUAGCUAGGAUGUCUAGUAUUAAAGUUGCUGAAUAUUAUCCCUUUCAUAUGUUAAUAUUUAGCUUUAAAACAUGGAAUCUCAGUCUGCUCUGUACAUAUGUUUUAAGUUAGUUGGCUGUCCAAUGCUCUCAACCAUGUAUCCUGGAUCCGUUUUGAUAGUCAUCAGUUUUCUCUUAGUAUUUCCAUGUAUGAAUAUCUGAAACUAGAUCAUCUUGUAUUGAUUUCAAACUGGAAAACAGCUCUAAUAAUUUGUCUAGCUGUAUGUUAAAUUUUGACUAGUCUAUUAAGCUUAAAAUUGUUAUAAAUAGACUUCUAUUUAUGGUGAAUGUCUAUAAUUAGAGAGAUUCUAGAGUUUUAUU